AGGCCCUUUCUUCUGCGCCAUCUUGUGGCAGUUGAGAGCAGGCCCAGGGCAGAAGGGAGGCAGGGGCAUUAAGAGCUCAGGCCUCCAGCUGAGGGACUGCAGAUGUUGGGUAAGCUGACCCUGGAAUUAACAGGCUCACACCUUGGAGGGGGCAGUCCCAUAGCAGGCUCCCACCCUGCCCUUCAGAGUUGCAGCAGACUCAUGGAGGCAACCACUCAAGGCCACUCUGAGAAGGGUUGAACGUGCUUUAAAUUAAAAGGACUGAGGAUCAUGUGUGUUGGUGUGUCCUGGACUCUGCUCUAAGGCCCUGUGGCUGCCUGGUGCCCUGGGAAUGGUCCGGUCAUGGGCCUCAGCCCAGGAUGAGCAGCCAACAAUGCAAUCCCACGAAGAGUGUGCGGAAGGGAGAGGUUACUUCUCAAGAUGGAGCUGCCAAAUAGGGACACUUUGGAGAGUCUGGCCUGAGAACUUUUAGUUUCAAGAAUGUAUUGCUUUGGAAAAGACAGAAUAAAAGUCCAAGCACUGCCACUUA
rnacentral:lncRNA from 1 species